rfam:Gossypium arboreum cultivar AKA8401 contig_34316_3, whole genome shotgun sequence.
AACCCAUGGUGAGGGCAUCAUCUCAAUAAGUCCUUAGAUCUCUCCCAUGUAUCAUAUAAGGUUUCUAAGUCAAUCUGUAUGAAGAAAGAUAUAUCAUUCCUCAACUU